GCCGCGGUAGUAUAGCCCGGUAAGUAUGCGGGCCUCUCAAGCCCGUGGCCCGGGUUCAAAUCCCGGCCGCGGCA
rnacentral:tRNA from 1 species